rnacentral:rRNA from 1 species
AUUGAACGCUGGCGGCAGGCUUAACACAUGCAAGUCGAGCGGGGUGAUGGUGCUUGCACUAUCACUUAGCGGCGGACGGGUGAGUAAUGCUUAGGAAUCUGCCUAUUAGAGGGGGACAACAUCUCGAAAGGGAUGCUAAUACCGCAUACGUCCUACGGGAGAAAGCAGGGGAUCACUUGUGACCUUGCGCUAAUAGAUGAGCCUAAGUCGGGUUAGCUAGUUGGUGGGGUAAAGGCCUACCAAGGCGACGAUCUGUAGCGGGUCUGAGAGGAUGAUCCGCCACACUGGGACUGAGACACGGCCCAGACUCCUACGGGAGGCAGCAGUGGGGAAUAUUGGACAAUGGGGGGAACCCUGAUCCAGCCAUGCCGCGUGUGUGAAGAAGGCCUUAUGGUUGUAAAGCACUUUAAGCGAGGAGGAGGCUCUUUUGGUUAAUACCCAAGAUGAGUGGACGUUACUCGCAGAAUAAGCACCGGCUAACUCUGUGCCAGCAGCCGCCGUAA